GAGGACACGCUGGCGGCGUGGAUUAGGCAUGCAAGUCGAACGGUAUCAUCCUUUCGGGGGUGAGAGAGUGGCGAACUGGUGAGUAACACGUAGGUUAUCUACCCUCAAGACGGGGACAACCCAGGGAAACUUGGGCUAAUACCGGAUGUGAGCAACUUUUAGUUGUUUGAAAGGUGGCGUAAGCUGUCGCUUGGGGAUGAGCCUGCGUCCUAUUAGUUAGUUGGUGAGGUAACGGCUCACCUAGGCAAUGAUAGGUAGGCGGCCUUAACGGGUGGUCGCCCACACUGGGAUUGAGAUACGGCCCAGACUCCUACGGGAGGCAGCAGUCGAGAAUAGUCUACAAUGGUCGGAAGACUGAUAGUGCGACGCCGCGUGAACGAUGAAUCCCUUCGGGGUGUAAAGUUCUUUUAUAUGUGAGCAGUGCUUCUUAUAUUAACAGUAUGGGGAGAGAGAUAUUAGCAUAUGAAUAAGCAACGGCUAACUCCGUG
rnacentral:rRNA from 1 species